CAAUGCGUGUACGCGUUAUGCGUUCAACGGAAUUUAUCAUCGGAGACACAUAAUUUUAAUACCAGAAUAUCAGAAUAAUAUAUCAUGGUCGAUACUCGAAGAUUUCAAGAGCAGAUACGAAACGUAUGCGCACGAUCCACGUACAGCUUAUACAGGUAUAUUCAAUGCACGUGUACAUGUCGGGGCAGCGCAACAACACGCGGAAUUCUGCGUUUAAUGGAGUGUUGAUCGUUGUGUCGCAGAACAAAUAUUUCGAGGGGGUGACCGGAGAUCGCUGGACAUCUGGCAGUGUUGGCGAUUGUCAUUGGUGCGGGGCUCCUGGUGCGAUCCUGCAGGACGUGUAACACCGCACGGUUCAUCAUGGCUAUACUGAUUUUUCUGUAUCAUAAUGCAGAUACCGUUCGCUAACUGCAACAACGAGCACGGGUCGUCCGGGUCGGAGGUGUAUGGCGACUAGGCACGCCCCUCUUCUUUUGAAGUCGUCACUGUAUUUAGAAAGAGCAGUAUAAUUAUUUACUUAUAACGUAUUACCAAUGCAAUAUAGAGAAUAAUAAAUUAUACGCGAGGUAUAAUUUAUAAUAUGUUAUGUAAAUGUAUUGAUAUGUAAUGUUCGUAAAGCCUAAAUAUCAAGAAAUGUAGAUUGAAGGUGAAAACGACAAGUCGUUUGAACCUAUUCACACGAUACGCGAAUCCAGCAAUAUCGGAGGGUAACAUGAGAAUAUAAGGUAUCACGAUGUACGUCAUUGCCAGAUACCGCAUGAACACGGGUAGAACGCCUACCAUUUUUUAGAAGAUUAUCAGCACUGGUCAGCGGCUUAACAAGCUUACAACAGUGUGCUUUAUGAUUUAAAACUUAUAACAGUAAAUUGUUUUACUUUAUUCAAUAAAGAGUCAAAAUGUUUAAUUGUUUUAUACCUACGUUUUUCAACAACAUCUCAGGACUAACGACUACGUGCUACGUCGUUUAAAUAAUAAUCGUAACAGCGUUCAACGUGUUUCACUAAACCACUGACAGUACGACCCAGAAAUCCCGGACCACCCAGGAAUAUCAAAAUAUAAAAUCAUUAUUAAUAAG